GACGAACGCUGGCGGCGUGCCUAAUACAUGCAAGUCGAACGCACUGGGAACGGGUUAUUAACACGUGGGUAACCUCCCAUCAGAGGGGAUAACACUUGGCAACAGGUGCUAAACCGAUAUUGGUGGAUGGACCCGCGGUGCAUUAGCUAGUUGGUGAGGUAACGGCUCACCAAGGCCACGAUGCAUAGCCGGCCUGAGAGGGUGAGCGGCCACACUGGGACUGAGACACGGCCCAGACUCCUACGGGAGGCAGCAGUAGGGAAUCUUGGGCAAUGGACGAAAGCCUGACCGAGCAACGCCGCGUGAGUGAAGAAGGUUUUCGGAUCGUAAAGUACUGUUGUCAGAGAAGCGGUAUCUAACCAGAAAGCCACGGCUAACUACGUGCCAGCAGCCGCGGUAAUAC
rnacentral:rRNA from 1 species